rnacentral:lncRNA from 1 species
ACUUGAAGAUCUGUAAAUAAUGAUAAUGAUAAGUGUAUGACUUGGAAGCUCUGUAAGUAAUAAUAAAAGAGUAUCACUAGUCAAUGAAAAAGAAGCAAUAUGUCCACUACACUUACUAAAAACAUGCACAAUAUCAGGCCAGCCCAAAAUACUCCAAGACGCGCUGAAAAUAGCAGAGGUAGGUAUCAUAGGUGUUAAAAAAAUCUCAUAGGUAGAAAACAUAGAGACUUACAUGCACAAUAGAUUUAUUGAUGCCGCAAUCUUCACCAAAAAUUGCAUCAAUUCGAUACUGUAGUGUCAAUAUUUCCAUAUUAAUGGUUCUGAUAUCCUUGUAAAGUUUAUUGAGUCUUCUUCUGCACUCAUUUAGUUGACUCAUCCUUACAUCUGAUGAAGCUUGACUGCUAGAGCACUCAUCUUCUUCACUGAGAAUAUUGCCAUUUCCAUUUCUGGGAUACAACAAAAAUCUAAUCAGUAAGUCAUGGUGUCCAUGAUAGUUUCACCAAUGACUAGACAUAUACCCUCUAGUUUUGUUUGAUAGUCCAUUUCUGAGAUACACCAAUAAAUUAGCAAAUUCAUUACCUUCUAGUGUUGUUUAGUAAACAACAAAAGCAGAUACCCAGUCCAAUCACCGCAUGUAGUCCAAUCAUCAUGUUCAUCUAAGGGAAGACAUUGAAAUAAUAUCAUGCAUUGAAAUAAGACUUGGGUCUUAAUUUGCAUGAUGCACAAUUGUAAUCAUAGGACCUACCAAGAACAUGGUAGUUUGCAUCUGCAGUAAAGAAUAUUUUUCUGUUUCCACAGUUUGUAGUAUUCUGAUACACAGAAAUAAAUAGAUCAAUAAAUAAACUCAUAAUCUACAAUAAUUUUCAGUAACUAUAUACAUAGAGAAUUACCUGGUAAUGCUCAUUGAUGCCACCAGUCCAAUCAACAAUUGUACUAAGAUCAAAACUCGUAGUAUCAUCCUCUAAGGGAAUGAAACACAGAUAAAGGCAUGAGAUUAGACUAACCUUGACCACUAAACUAAGCCUUUGGUAAAGGCAACAGAUCAAGGCUAUGCAAAUAACAAAUUACUCCAUAUACUUGUUGCUGCACUUAGCUUAGCUGACAACUCGGAUGAACCACAAAAUCUAUAUUACCUUUCGUCGCAUUGCAGACUACAAAAUUUCGCCGGAGGAGAGCCCGCCGCGGGGCGCUUGAGUUCGCCGGUGGGGAUGAGUCGGCUGACUGCUCGUCUCCUCCAAGCUCCGGCUACAUGAAAAAUCAAAGCCGUAUACACCAUUCUGGGUGACUAUAAAAGAUCAAAGUCGUACACACAAAAUGGAUGUUAGUUGACCGAAACAUCCAUUCUAUGACACUAAGUCCCGUUUUUAUCCCUAUCAUCUAUUUUCGGUACAAAAUGCCGAUCACUUAAUCAGCUCAAUUUCCAUUUCAGCAUCAAACAUCCAUUCUAGCAUCCUAAUCGCUUCUAGGAUAUGAUAUAUCUGAUAAACAGAAGUUCAUACAGAAAACUACUAAGUUACACAUUCAUACUUCAUCAGUGCAUCAUAGCACUUUGGAUGGUUCUGAUUGGCUUCAUUCAGAAAGUGCACAAGCAGUUGCGAAUCAGAUACGAAGGUAGUGUUGUUGAAGUUUAGCAGAUCAUUGAUUGCGAGGUAGGAGAAUGAUCUUUGGCCAGUAGUGUGCUGGCUUGGUAGUGUCGUCUGAUCUGCAGAACAAGAGUGUGCAUAUCUUGGACCACUUGAUCACACAAAGGAUGCCCACCUGGAAGGCUUUGAGACAGCAACCCUCUUGAUGAUAGAAACUUCACACGCACUUGAGAGUUUAGCAAGUUCAAAUCCGAUUGAUUGAUUGAUAUGCAGAAUACAAAUCUGAUUGAUUGACAUGCAGACCAUAAAAAAUGUGUAAUUUUCCGAUGUCUUCUGUUCUCGAUCGAUGCAAAGCUGACAUCGACGCAGACACUGCUUCCUGUACAUGAGAGCCGCAGAUGCUUGUUCAGAACUUCAGAUUUGUACAGUGAUGAAGUGACGAUCGAUCAGCUCCUCGUCCCCGUCCAAGGUUUCCAGAAACUCCAGCUCGCUGAAGCCGCCGCGUGUUUCCGUCUCCCUGGCCCUGCUAGCCACCAGACCACUGAUCUCUGACGACGACGACGUUCCAGUCGACGCCGGCGCCGCGGCGAACUCGCGUCCACCAUGUACAUGUGGCAAUCGCAAGCAUGGGGCUUGGCCUGCAAGCGCAGUCGGAAAGAAAGCCGCGGGCGGCCGCGCGUCGCCGCACUCGUCGUCGCAGUCGCAGUGCGCGGCGGCGCUAGCAAUGAUCUCGUCCUGCCUGUCGCGGAGCCACAAGUCAAGGCUAAGCGAGGACAGCGGCGAGGGUAGCCGCCUCCUCCGCGGCGUGCCGCGGCGGAGUGUCUCCUUGCAGUGGGCGAUGGCGCUCGCCACGGCCUCCGCGCGCUCGCGGGCCGUGUCGUCGACGGCGCCCCUGCGUGGCGCUGCCGCCGUUUCCUUGUUACCGGCCCUGGCCUUCCUCAGCCGCCGGGAGAUCCACCGCAGGUGCCUCCCCACCGCGUACCCCUUCGGCGCCACGCUCGCCGCCGGCGCCGCAUCCUCCUCGGCAUGGAUAUUGGACGCGCGCGCGAGGGCUUUGCUGGAGGUCCACAGCCGCAUCCCAGCGCCACCCGCGCCGAAGCACAGCGCCGAGGUGGAGGUGGAUGGGCUCCGCGGACCGGGUGUGCUGAAACUGAAGGCGUCGGCGCUCGACGAGGAGGACGCCGAUGAGGAGGAGCCCGAGUCUGUUUCCUUAUUAGUGCCGGCGCCGCCGGCCGCGCGGAACGACGGGGACGACGGCGAUGGGAAGUCAGGCUCGGAGGGUGCAGGCGUCGCGGCCGUGGCCACCGUCGUCGUGCCCACGGCGUACGGGGACAGCCAAUUCAUGGCGGCGGCUAGUGAGUGCCGGUGCCUCUCGUAGGAAUGGAGUUGGAGGAGUGCGUGUGCAUCGAUCGGUGCAUGCAUGGCAUUGUUCAUGGCAUGGCGGCGUGUCUUUAUAUUCACGUCGUCAUCAUUCACGACGGUGCGUCCUCCUGGAGAGUGGCAGAUGACAAGCAUUCUUGCCAGAAAUGGUUCGCUUGGGGGCGUGUGAGUAUAUGGAAGGUCCUUCCCAAAUCCAUGGCAGCAACAGCCAGUAGGGCAGUACUGUCAUUCCAUAACAGCAACACGCGUUCAAGGUUGGAAUUAAUUUCUGGUGGAGCAUGAUUUGCAAUCUUGCAUUAAUACGUCAUUCUUCAUGACCAUGUAUUUGAGUGAGGAAUUAUAUUUCCAGCACAGAAAUUAAAAUUAUGGGUACCGAUUUGAGGGGACCCGGCAAACAGUGAAGAGGAGCCAAAAGUGAUUCCAGGAAUAAAAUGUUAAGGAGCAAAAUGCUUGAGUUGGACACAUGAAAUGAAUUAUGCAAUGCUUGAAUUAAAAGUUGUGCAGCAAAUGGAUUUAAAUAUAGUAUUUACAAAAGUUGUCCUCAAAACUUUUUGUCAAUUACAAAGUACAAAUUAAUAACCUACAGCCUACUAGCGUAGUGACAUCAAAUGCUUUCCGAAUUAUUAAGAGCAAGUUUGGCAUACCACCACCCCUAGACCCAAGCAUGAUUUGAUGUUAAUCAGAUAGAAUAAAGUAUGUGUUUAAUCAAAUUUAAUACACAUCUCCUAUAAUUCAGGAGCCUGAACAGUUUUGUCCUUGUCUUUCCAUAAAAAAAUUGUAAUUUGUUUAUUGUGAUAUGUGUUAAUAGAUUUGGGCUGUUGGAUGGAAAUCUCAUGGUUGUAAGCUAUCGCUUGAAUAGAUGCUAUAUUUCAAGCACCUUAAAUAUAUAGCAUUUCAAAAUUUUAAUAAAAAUUGCUUAACUAAACUAAAUAUCUUCAGUGUGCCACAGCCCUCACCUCCAGCUCCAAGAAUUUUUGGAGCUAGACCGGCUCAGAGCGUGCUUACGCCUUUGUUAGAUUGAUGGAAAAACAACUUAAGCUGUGAUUAAUUAUGUAGCUUCUGGAAUACGUUCAGUGUUGAGCUGACACGAUUUUUUUUUAAUUCAUAUCUAAUCGUGCUUCCUUUCCAUAUCCAGCGGACUCUGCUUCCAGGACACAUGAGAUGAGAUCCGCUUCUUCAGAUCUCCAGUGAUGAAAUGGUGAUUGAUCAUCUCCUCGUCCCCAUCGAAUGUUUUCAGAAACUCCAUCUCGUCCAAGCUGCGGCUGCUCAUCGACGAUUCGCCACGGCAAUCUGCACGAAUGCAUGGAGAGCCAAUGCAACGCAUUAAACGAUAGACGAUGCCAGUGCAUCUGGAUUGCAUUCCAUGGUAUGCCGGCCGGGUGGCUAGCACUAGCAGAGACACCUAGUACCGUGGCCGUGAUGCGGUUCCGGUGACUCCUCGUCGUGCACGACGGCGCACGAGGCGGCGGCGAGCGAACUGUCCCGGCUUGGCGAGGCCGAGCACGGGCACGGCGACUCCUUGAAUCGCUUCGCCAUCGUCAGCAUCCCGAGGCCGGGCCAACCGGCGGCCCGGCGAGGACGCGGAGGUGAGGGCCCUGGGUCACUGCAGUCGUCGCAGUGCACGGCGGCGGUCGCGAUGAUCUCCUCCUGUCUGUCGUGGAGCCACUCGUCUAGGCUAGGCCGUGUCAUCAGCGGCGGCGGCCAUGGGUGAUGGUGACCCAUUACCGUCGCUCCUGGCCUUCCUCUGUCCCUGCCGAUCACGUCUCCUUUGACCUUGGGUGCCGCAUCCUGCUUCUGCGGCUGCUUCGCGGGCGCUCGCGCGCGGGAGCACCGCAGCAGCAGCCUCCUCCCGACGCCGACGCCGCCGCUAGCGCCGAAGCACAGCGGCGUAGUGGAGGGGCUCUCCUGGCGAGACCGGGACUUAAAGAAUCCGGAGUGGCGACCGUAGUCGCUCGACGACGAAGACGGGGAGGAGAGGGAGGAGCCCGAUCCGGCCGCAUUGGUGCUGGACGACGGGGACGACGACGCGCGGUCGAGCUCAGAGGAGUUGGCCGUGGCCAUCUCUACUGCAAAGCACUGGGCGCCGGGGAACAGGCACGCCGCGAGGAACUGGAUCAGCUGCAUGGCGGCCGGCGAAUGCUCGGCACGACGGACUUUUGGGUUUUAGUUUAGCGUGGCGCGGCAUCUCUUAUAUAUACAGGCAGUGAUCGAUCACGGGUCACGGCGGCGUCCCCUCCGAGAUGCCAGAAACGAACCAAGAGUGAGGCUAAUUUUUUUUUCGUGCUCAAUGCAGUACACUAAUAGAUAUAGCUAAGAUUGAUAAUUCAAUAUUGAUUCAAAGUGUUUAAAGGCAAAGAUUCAUAGAAUAAGCAUAGAAAAAUACCAAAUAUAUAGAAUCUUUUGCAAAAAAGAAAACUUGUUAAAAGAUUUUUGAGUCCAAGAGGGGGCUACAGCCACCCCAGCCACCCCCUUGGGUCCGCCAAUGCUUGUGCCUACCUAAAAAAACAAGCAUCCGGUAGUCUCGAACUGGAAGGCUCCUUCCAAUCCUUCCAAAUCCAUGGCAGCGGUUGCCUUCUUCUGUUUCCAUCUUCCAUAUACAUGGGCGUGGUUAAAUUACUCUACCAUAUUUCCAUUUCCGGAACCUAAACCUAACUAAUACUUAGUUGUUUCCAUUUGCUCAUCCGGUGAGGGCACUCACAAUGCAAGACUCUAUUAUAGAGUCCAAGACAAUUCAUUAUAUAUUAUUUAUAGUAUUUUCCUGAUGUGGCAGCAUAUUUAUUGAAGAAAGAGGUAGAAAAAAUAAGACUCCAAGUCUUAUUUAGACUCUAAGUCCAUAUUGUUCGAGGUAAUAAAUAAUUUUAGACUCUAUGAUAGAGUCUGCAUUGUAAGUGCCCUGAUAGAUCCUCAUCUUCUUCUGGCUCAACUCCCUUUUUCAUAUCCAAUGCAGGUUAGGUAUGCUUUAGCUUGAAAUCAUUAAAGAUAUGGUCGACCUCGUUUACAUCCAUGGUACCAUUGUAUGUACCUUCUACUAUCAUCCAGAUGAGAUAGGGAUUCAAAAGGUCAGAGCCAGUCUCCUCGUUCUUUUAGGUCGUUUAAUAGUUCCCCAAUCGGCUUUCUCGCCGAGAAAGCCUUCCUUCAUUAGAUUAAAAAACCACACUGAUAGAUCAUUAUUCAUUAUUAGGUCAUGUUUGCAUGCAUGUAUAUUCACUUCGCUCCACAUGUCUUGGAGUGAGUUAGAAUGUAAUUUAAUUCUACUCUAAUUCACUUCAUCACAUGUGGAUCGAGAUGAAUAUCAAUGCUUGACUGUAUAGUAGCCUUCCUAUGACUAUCUUCCAUGUCGCAGGGGCAAAGGCAGGCACGUUUGGUGCAGAGAUUGAUGACAUGGUCCAAAACGGGCUAGCCCAAUGGGCGGCACCAAACAUAGUCGUAUUAGACACGCCUUGGUAUCAUUGUUAACAAGAUCAGCCCAACCAUAGUGUUGUGUUGGGCCGCUUAUUUAGCCUACAUUGUAUGCAUGUGAAUAAAACAUUGGAAAACUUGGACCAAAACUGCGACGGUGAUGUCUUUGCUCUUUCUACUUAUAGAAAUUGCUCAGCGGCUUCCACCGUGUAAGGAAAAUGGACUAUCGACCCAUUUAGUUUGGAGUUUGGUAUUUGAUGAUCAAUAAGACCAAGUUGAAAAUGUAUUUGCAAGUGUUUAUUUUUUGAGUAAAAUACACUGACAACCCUUUAACUUGUCGCCAUGUGCCACUUUGGUCCAUGAACUUGCAAACGCGAAAAAGUGCCUCCUGAACUUGUCGAUCCGUGCCACAUUGAUCCAUGAACAUGCAAAUACGAGAAUAACACCGGCUGCAUGGCACUGUUCUGCCACAUGGCCGCCUCUGGUAGGCCAUGCAUAUCACCGUUUAUGGUGAUGAUGUCAGCACUUCUUUUUAAAUUUACGAAAUUGAUAUAUUUUUAUUUGUAGCGCCAAAUAUAUCAAUUUUAAUCGCCUCGUCGAGCUCUUUCUAAUGGUGUACUCUGUUUUGUUGUUUGAGAUAGUUUUAUUUAAACAUUUUGUACAUGUUGAUAUCGUCAUAAAACAUCUAUAAAUCAAUUUUCAUAAUUUUUUAAUAUUUAUUUUGGCCUACAAAAAAUCAUAAAAGUUGCAUUAUUAAUUAAAAGAGAUAAUUUUAAAACAAGCAAAAAUUAUUCGUUUUCUAGGUUUCAUAUUUUUCCAGCAGAGUACAUCAUGAAGAGGCUACACAAAACAUUGUAUUUUACACUUAUUUUUUAGUCCAAUAGGUUACCAACAUGACUUGGACAGAACAACAUGGUGAUCCACCUCAAGUAAGGCAUUUAGAAGCAUGUUUGAAGACUCAAUAGAUCAAGCAAAGUUCAAGCCACAACGUCAGAACCAAUCCGGACGCAAAAGAUUGCAAGAAAGAAAAAAAGGUAGGCGUCGGAUUGAUACAGUAAAGGGCGUCGGACCAGAUGUGACCACUAUAUUCACACUAUGGAGGAAACACAACAGGAGCAUCGGACCAUGCCUAGGCGUCAGACUGCUAUAGUACCAUUGGACCGCUACAGUACCUAGCUAGGCGUUGUACCGCUACAGUGUGUAGUCCGAUGGUGGUUUGGUUUGGGUUCUCCUGAGAGGUGUGCCAGGCGUCGAACGUAGUCCGUGGAUGGGGUGUCAGACUAGUCCGACAGUGAUCCCGCAUGUCAGCCUUAGGCGCACAACAACGGUUGGCAGCAAUGGCUACUGACACAGUGACCGUUGCAAGGCGUCAGACUGCUACAAUAUUAGUCUAAUGUUACAGUGCAACUCGUCUGACAGUAUGUAGAAUUGUCCAUCCAAGCUACCAAUGACUCUAUUUGCAAUGGGGGCUAUAAAUAUGAGUUCCAACCAGCCAAAUAAGGUGCAGAGGAGUAAGGAAAUAUACAAAGGGUGUUGAUACACUAUUUUCAGUGCUAUCCACAUGCAUAGUGCUUAGAAAAAAAAUCGGUGAUUAGUGUAUGUGUUUUUGCGAAGAGCUUAGGUUAGUUAGAUCACACUCGUAUGCGCUUGCUCUAGGUUUAGGUAUAGGUUGAGUGAGGUUUGCACUCCUCUUACCUUUGUUGAUUGUGUGCACCAUUGUUGUACAUCUCAGAGGAUUGUAAGUCUUGCGGGACAAUACCAAUUGUGUUUCUGGUGUGCCUGCCACCGUGUACGGAACAAGGUAUGUGGCGUUUUGGCCAGAAGCUUGAUAGCGAAGACAACGGAGAGCAUCUAGGAGAGGCUUAGCAGAAGGCACGUCAAAGACCCACUUGCGCGUGGGAAAGGUCCUAGGCUAUCCACAAAGUUACCCGAUCAGGAUUUUGGCUCUUGCGAGGGUUACAAAGACAGGGAGAAACAUGAGCUUCUUAAUACCUCGGUAAAAACACUAGAGUCACUGAUAGGAGUUUGCAUCUCUAUUGUUCUUUUAUCUUCCGCAUUAUAUUAUGUAGGUUAGUUAUGUGCUUACUUUCCUAACUUAGUUUGAUAGGCUAGUUGAUAGAAUUGGAACCUAGGGUGCAUAACUCUUUUGCGAUAGAGAUAGCAGCACACCUAGCAAAAUCAUAGGGCCUGUUUGGUACAGCUCACAACAGCUUCAUGAGCUGUUGUGAGCUGUUUUUUUUUUGCCAAACACUUAUUUCCAAAACAGCUUCAUGGGUGAAGCUGUUUUUCCCCUCCUCUCACAAAAACAUAAGUUGUAUGAAGCUGAAAAAUAGUAGCUUAUUGUAGCUUCUCCCUCAUUUCUCUCUCUCAACUAUGCAUGAAGUAGUUGGUGAAGCUAUUUUGCCAAACACUUUUUCCAAAACAGCUUAGCUUCAUCUAGAAAGUCACUCAUGAAGCUAUUUUCUAAAAAAACAGCUUCACUAGUGAAGUUGAGCUGUGCCAAACAAGCCCAUAGUUGCACAAUUAGAUAGUUUAUUUAUUUGCAUAGAUUUUGUUAAAGUACAAAUUAGACUCCGUAGUUGCCUAAUUCACUUUCUCUCUUAGGUGUCACGGUCCUUACACAUCACUUUAUGUUCCGUUCCGGAAAAGUUUACAGUCUUGGUAUUCUUUACUGCGGUCAGGCUGGUAUUUCAUUCCCUCCAAUCAGAAUUGUAGUUGGUGUCCAGUUAGCUCAGCCGCCUGUUCUUUGCUGCUAUGUGUUGUUUGCCAAGGAGUCGUGUUACGUGUGCGUGGAAUACUUCGGAUUUGGCCAAGGAGUCGUGUCACGUGCGCGUGGAAUACCUCGGAGACGUAACCUGUCAGUAUUCAUGGGCACAUGCUAACUGCAGCAUAUCUUUUGUUUCGCCCGACUUGGUGCUCAGAUUGCGUUGAUCACCAAUUCUCACCAGCGUUGGUGUUGAUUGGUGAAAGGGAGGCAGAUGGAGUCAGUCGCCGUGGUGACCGUUCCCUUCCCGGCGCAGGGCCACCUGAACCAGCUCCUGCACCUGUCGCUGCAGCUCGCGUCGCGGGGCCUGCCCGUGCACUACGCGGCGCCCGCGGCGCAGGUCCGCCAGGCCCGCGCGCGCGUGCACGGCUGGGACGAGGACGCGCUCCGCUCCGUCGAGUUCCACGAGCUCGGCAUCUCCGAGUACGUCUCCCCGCCGCCCGACCCCACCGCGCCCUCGCCCUUCCCCACGCACCUCAUGCCCCUGUUCGAGGCCUACACCGCCGGCGCGCGCGCCCCGCUCGCGGCGCUCCUCGCCAGGCUCUCCGCCUCGCACCGCCGCGUGGUCGUGGUGCACGACCGCGUCAACGUGUACGCCGGCGAGGAGGCCGCGCGGCUGCCCAACGGCGAGGCGUUCGGGCUCCACUGCCUGGCGGCGUCGACGCUCGCCGUGACGACGGGCGCCGGGCUCCGUCUCCUGCGUGAGCGCGGCCUGGCGUUCCUCGACUUCGCGCACUCCACGUCGAGGGAGUUCGCGGAGUACGUCGCCAAACGCGCGAUGCCGACCAAGGAGAUCUCGCCUGGCGCGGGCAUCCUCGUGAACUCAUGUCGCACGCUCGAGGGCGAGUUCGUGGACGUCGUUGCAGGCGACCUUGCCGCCGACGGCAAGAAGUACUUCGCCAUCGGGCCCUUAAACCCACUGCUCCUCCACCUCCGCGCGGACUCCCAGAAGCCGCGUCACGAGUGCCUGGACUGGCUGGACAAGCAGCCACCGGAUUCGGUUCUCUACGUGUCGUUCGGCACGACAUCGUCGCUGCAGACGGAGCAGAUCGCAGAGCUUGCAGCAGCGCUGCGCGACAGCGACCAGCGGUUCGUCUGGGUGGUGCGCGACGCAGACCGCGGCAACGAAUCGGCGGACGACGACGAGAGCCAGAACAACAGACACGCGGAGCUGCUGUCCAAGUUCACCAACCAGACCCGAGGGAGGGGCAGGGUGAUCACCGGGUGGGCGCCGCAGCUGGAGAUACUGGCGCACGGCGCCACGGCGGCCUUCAUGAGCCACUGCGGCUGGAACUCGACUAUGGAGAGCCUGAGCAACGGGAAGCCUAUCCUUGCGUGGCCCAUGCACUCCGACCAGCCGUGGGAUGCGGAGCUGGUGUGCAAGUAUCUCAACGCCGGCAUCCUUGUGCGCCCCUGGGAGAAGCACGGUGAGGUGAUUCCGGCGGAGGCCAUCAGACAAGUAAUCGAGGUUGCCAUGCUUUCUGACCAAGGAGUGGCAGUGCGGCAGCGAGCCAAGGUGCUCGGAGAGGCCGUCCGUGCCUGCCUGACUGACGGCGGCUCAUCGCGCAAAGACCUUGAUGAUUUCAUUGCUCAUAUCACAAAGUAACCGUCUAGUCGAAGUUAAAAUUUUAUCGAAUACUUUGAAAUUUGUUCUUAGUUGCCGGAUGGGCAACAAUCUCAAGCCUCUAAGAGCAGAGCCUAGAGCUAGGCGAAUAAGAGCUUUUUACCUGUAUGCCAUUAUAAAAGUUCAAAAUAAUUUGUGCAUCAUCGAAGUUUUAAAAAGCUCCCUACUACAGUUGUAUAAAAUUUUCUUUCUCCAUGUGCCACUUCGGUUAAUUUCGCUUGUAACAGCAGGUAACGGCCAGCGGAAAAGACGAUUUUGCCCUUGAUAAUAAAAUGCAUCAAAUUUUUUGUUCUUUCCUUAGGUUCACUAUAUUCGAUUCAAAAAAUCACCCUUUUCUCUGACUAUUAUGAUUCAAAAUUUUGUCAUAAUGGUACAGAGAAAAGGGUGAUUUUUUUUAAUCAUAGGAAUAUAGUGGCACACUGGCACCUAAGGAAAGAAUGAAAAAUUUGAUGCAUUUUACAACUGAGGGCAAAAUUGUCUUUUUAGUUGGCCAUUACAUGCUGUUACAAGCAAAAUUGAUUGAAGUGGCACCAGGGAACGAAAAUUGUAUACAAGGAUACUGAGGAGCUUUUUCAAACUUUAAUAGUAUACAAGUCAUUUUAAACUUUAAUAAUGGCGCACAGGUAAAAAGCUCGACCAAUAAACGUGUAAUGGGUUUAGAAUGGGUAAACAUAUACAUAGUUGUUAGCACUGAUCGGGUAAGGAGAGGAUAUCAAUUGUAUGGACACCAAUUUUUUUCCCCAAGCUACGCAUAACUAACUCGUCUCCAAACCAGCAAAACUCAACUCGCUAAGGAAAAACUCUAGACAAGAAAAACUCUAUCUAGAAAAAGAACCACAACCACAACUUGCCAAGGGCCUUAACACUGAGCACACUUACAAUAUCACACGGUCCUGUCGCUGCAACAGCCCCAUCCGUCUCUCUUUUACUAUACUAGUAGCCAUGACACAUGCCAAACGUGUUUAAAAAAAGGAUUUUAUAUGUAUAUCAUUAUAAAAGUUAAUAUUUGUCUAUAAGUCAUUAAAAAAGUUACGCUUUUAGAGGUGCCACUGUCCCGAACUCUUUUGCUCUCUACGGACUCUAACGGUGUUAAACUGCAGGUAUAAAAAGUUAAAAAUAUCCUCAUGUUUAAGUAUCCAAUUAAUUUUUUAAGCAUUUUAAUGAUCUCAAAUGUGAAAAAAACUCAAAACUAGAACUUUUUAAAAAAUCCACAGAUUAUCUAGAGCUAGACCUUUGCCAAAAAGAGGCUAAAGCUGGUUAAUUCUCUAGCUCCUGGAAGCUGGAAUCCGUUCAGUGUUGGUAAUAUACUAAGCUGUCAAGAAUUUCCUUUUCAUAUAUAAUCGCUUUCUUUUCAUAUCCGGCGGACUCUGCUUGCCCGCUUCUUCAGAUCUCCACAGUGAUGAAAUGGUGAUUGAUCAUCUCCUCGUCCGCAUCGAAUGUUUUCAAAAACUCCAUCUCGUCCAAGCUGCUCAUCGACGAUUCGCCACGGCAACCUGGACGUAGAGCCAACGCAUUAGACGAUAGACGUAGCCGGCGCAUCAGGGAUUCAGGGUUGCAUUGCAUGGGAUGCGCGGGUGGCUAGCUAGCAGAGACAACCUACCGUGGCCGUGAUGCGGUUGCGGUGACUCCUCGUCGUGCGCGACGGCGCACGCGGCUGCGGCGAGCGAACUGUCCCGGCUUGGCGAGGCCGAGCACGGGCACGGCGACUCCUUGAAUCGCUUCGCCAUCGUCUGCAUCCCAAGGGGCCAUCCGGCGGCCCGGCGAGGACGCGUCGGCGAGGACCGUGGGUCACUGCUGCACUCGUCCCAGUGCACGGCGGCGGUCGCGGUGAUCUCCUCCUGUCUGUCGUGGAGCCACUCGUCAAGGCUAGGAGAGGGUGGCGGCGGCGGCGGGGACGGCGACCGCGAGCGCGAGCGCGAAUUGCCCCGCCGGAGCGUGUCCUUGCAGUACGAGAUGGCGCGGGCCACGGACUCGGCCCUCUCGCGGGCCGUGUCAUCAACGGCGGCGGCCAUUGGUGACGGCGAUCCCUUACCGUCGUCGCUCCUGGCCUUCCUCAGUCUUCUCGAAAUCUUGCGCAGGUACCUCCCGACCACAUCUCCCUUGAUCUUGGGCGCCAUGGUCGCCGCAGCCUGCGGCUGCUGCUUCACGGGCGCUCGCGCGCGGGAGCCCCGCAGCAGCCUCCUCCCGGCGGCCGCGGCGCCGCUGCCGCCAGCGCCGAAGCACAGCGGUGUCGUGGAGGGGCUGUCCUGCCGGGACCGGGACUUAAAGAACCCGCGGUGGCCGUCGCUUGACGAUGUCGAGGACGGGGACGAGAGGGAGGAGCCCGAUCCGGCCGCACUGACGCUGGACGACGGAGACCACGACGCGCGGUCGUCGAGCUCAGAGGAGUCGGCCGUGGCCAUCUCCACUGCAAAGCACUUGGCGCCGGGGAACAGCCACGCCGCGAAGAACUGGAUCAGCUGCAUGGCGGCCGGGCGGCGAAUGCUACCGAUCGAGCACGACGGACUUUUGGGUUCUAGGCUUUUAGCGGCGGCGCGGCAUCUCUUAUAUAUACAUGCAGCGAUCGAUCACGGCGGCGUCCCCUCCGAGAUGCCUCCUUGCCUACCUAAAAAACAAGCAUCCGGUGAUCUGCAACUGGAAGGCUCCUUCGAGUCCUUCCAAAUCCAUGGCAGCAGUUGCCUUCUUCUGUUACUAUCUUCCAUAUCAGCGUGGUUAAAUUACUCGCUCACUGUUGGAUCAUUAUUAGGGUCCACGGGAAGUUAAAAAGAAAUUGGCCAAUGCAUGGCUGUAUAGUGGCCUUCCUGUGACUAUCUUCCAUGCAUAUCGCAGGGGCAGGCGCAGUCGGUGCAGAGUUUGAUGAUGCCAUGAUUCUAAUUCCCCGUCACAUCAAAUCUUUAGACGCAUGCAUGAAGUAUUAAAUGUAGACGGAAAUAAAAACUAAUUGCACAGUUUGGUCGGAAUUGACGAGACGAAUCUUUUGAGUCUAGUUAGUAAAUGAUUAGAUAAUAUUUGUCAAAUACAAACGAAAGUAGUACUAUUCCUAUUUUGCAAAAAAAAUUUGGAACUAAACAAGGCCUAGGCUAAUAUCAAUAGAAUGUUUCAUCUCUUAGUUUUCAAGACGUAGAGUUUAAUAUGAAACGGUUCUCUAUUAGUAUAUAGUUUCAUCAUUACAGAUUUACAGUUAUAGAUUUAAAUCUAAAUAAAUCUAUAACUAAGUUAUAAAUGAUCUAAUGCCUAUAAAAUUUUUUAAUAUAAUUUAAGCAUAUAAUAAUUAGCCUACUAUAAAAGUUUUAGUAUGAUUAGAUCAUAGAAACUGCAAAUAUGAAUUAAUUAUAGAAAAGCAUAGACCUAAAGGUACAGCAGAAACUUUGUACUAAAAUAUAUCAUGUUAUAUGUUUAUUGUGUAGAUCUAUCCAUCUGAGUCCAACAAAAUUAAAUUUUUUAUUUUAUGAUUUUUUGUGAUUUACUAUAAUUUUUUAAAGAUUCAGCAAAAUAAAUAAAUAAAAAAAGACAAAACCGCAUUCAAAACCGCCUACAACUAGACCACUGAGGUAAAAUAAAUAGUUUUAGAAGUUGAGGGACGUGAUUUGCCCAAAUUUGGAAUUCAUAAAAGAAAAAACUGACUUUUACAAAAGUGAGCUAAUAUGGACUUUUUCCCAUUGUUAAUGUCAGCCCAAGCAUAUGGACUUUUUCCCAUUGAUGAUGGGUUGGGCCACUCAUCAGCCUAUAUUGUCCUCAUGUGUGAAUAAAGCAUUGGACUCUCCAUUGGGUCCGUGCACGACGAUGUCUUUGGUCACUUUCUCACGACACGCAUCUCACGUGCAUUAUUAUGGCCUUGUUUAGUUCGCAAAAAUUUUCAAGAUUCUCCGUCACAUCGAAUCUUUGGUCGUAUGCAUGGAGCUUUAAAUAUAGAUGAAAAUAAAAACUAAUUGUACAGUUUACCUGUAAUUUGUGAGAUGAAUCUUUUGAGCCUAGUUACUCCAUAAUUGGACAAUAUUUAUCAAAUAAAAGCAAAGGUGCUACAGUAGCCAAAAACCUUAAAUUUUGCCAACUAAACAAGGCCUAUAUAUAUGUCGACGCCGGAAUUUCACAGUCACACGCCACUUCCUGUACGAUGCAAGCACACGCACGUGCCAUCAUGCUCGUACACCAUAGUGGGCCUAGUGGCCUGCAGUUUUCCGCGUGAACUGAGCAGCUCGCUUGCACGGGCGCACCGCGCACAUCACACUCCAUGGCGACGUGUUCUCUAAAUCUAAACAGCGAGGUAUACUUAUACUGUUCAUAUCAGACUAGCUACGGUCAGACUAGCGGCCGAGUCGUAGAUAAACUCGUGUAUGGAUAAAUUUUCUUGUGCAGUGUUCUUUUAGCCUGAAUAUCCCAUACGAUAUUUUUUGGAUGACAAUUCUCCAAUGUCUCAAACCUAAUUCGAAUCUAUCACCACCAUGUUCUGCCUUAAAUACUACUCCCUCUAUUCUAAAAUUAUAAGAUGUUUGACUUUUUAUCACAAGUUUGAUCACUCGUCUUAUUCAAAAAAUUUAUGCAAACAUAGUCAAAUUUAAGUCAUUCUUGAAGAAAUUUUAUUAAUAAACCAAGCCACGAUAAAAGAAGUGAUAUUUUUCACAAAUUUUUUAAUAAGACGAAUGGUCAAACUUGGUGUCAAAAAAAUUAAGCGUCUUAUAAUUUGGGAUGGAUUGAGUAACUGUGUAUAUGAACAAUCAACCAUGUACAAGACAAUUCAUAAAUUAAUUUAGAAUCAAUCCCAACAUCACUUGCUUUAUUUUAAUGUACUUCCUAUAAAUUGUAAGUUAUUUUUGUUUUUUCUACUAUGUAUCUUGAUAUAUACUACUCCUCCGUACUCACAAAGAAAGUCGUUUUGGAAAGGUUUGGGUUAAACAUUGGGAAUAUAAAUCAUAAAUAAUUUUUAAGUUGUUGAGUUUGAAAAUGUAAAAACCAUAUGAAUAGAUUUGUCUUGAAAAACACUUUUAUAAAAUUGUACAUAUACACUUUCUCAUAUAUAUUUUUAUAAAAACAAGGAGUUAAAGUUAGGCUUUGGAGACCGUGUUACUGUCUUAAACGACUUUCUUUAUAAGUAUGGAGAGAAUAUUAUAUCUAGAUACGACAUACCAAAAACUAUAUAUUUAGAAAAAAUAGAACAGAGAAAGUACUAGAAACCAACAUAUUUGUAGUCUUGUACAUGAACAAAUAUCGUGUACUAGUUACUUUAUAAAACUAUUCAUAAGACGCUUUAAUAUUUCUACUAGAUACAUAAUUAUUUUUUAGAUAUAUCCGGAUGCUGCGUAUAUCGAAGUAGUAAAAGUUCUGAAAUUUUUUUGGUUUUCGAUACUUAUAGCAUUUUCGUUUUUAUUUGACAAUUAUUGUCCAAUCAUAUAAUAACUAGACUCAAAAGAUUUAUCUCGUGAUUUACAGGCAAAAUUUACUGCAAGAUCGAUGCGAUAGAGAAUCUUACAAAAUUUGUAGUUUUUUUGGUAAACUAGACAAAGCCCUAGUAGGAAAGCUAAAAACGUUGAAUAAUUUGGAUGGGAGGCGGAGAUUUUCAUCACACGAUCGAUACCAUAAAUAACCCGUUUCUGCAUAUUUAGAUUGAGCUGUCGCUCUCAUGUCUUCUGGUGGAGCCACAGGGUAGCAUCCGCGAAGCACUUCCUGUACCUCUCCAUAGCCGCCGGCUGCAGAGAGACCCCCACCUCUAUCCCGCCGUCGCCACUCCGGCUCUCCGCCACCGCCACUGCGCCGGUCCUCGCCACGGACACGAUGUCCACCUUCGCCGGCCGGCCGAAUCCGAAGUCCAGGUCGUAGACGCGGAACCUCGGCGAGCCGGCCACGGUGAGUAAACCCAUCGGGAGCACCUCCCUGAUGCGGUCCAUCCACGCGUCCAUGCUCGACGUCCCGAUGUCGCGUACAGCUUCGUCGAUGGCGGACGCGACGGCGGCGCACGCGCUGAAGAGCCCUCCUGCGCCGGCCGCGGCCAGCUCGCCCGUUGGUGCCAGCGCGAACGCUGGGCCGACGCAGUUGCCCAGGUACUUCUCCGGCAGGGGAGGCUUCAUCCGCGACCGGUGGUCGACGGGGAAGGCCAUGCAGGCCAUCGAGCCCUCUCCGGCGCCGCCGCCGCUUCCCUCCUUGCCUCGCUGGUAGCACGACCAGACGAGGCCGAAGGUGGCAACGAGAGACGAGCACCGGGGCGGCGCGACGCCGCGCCGCGCAGCCUCGUCGGCCACGGCGUCCUUGACGCGCUUGAGGUCGUCCUUGGACAGUGUGAACGUGGCGAAGAGCUGGUCGGCGGACAUCUUGACGAACUCAUACUCUUCACUGCUCGGCGCGGUUUGGACAAAGGCGUCGUACAGGCGCCUUGGGUCGGCGAGGAGAGUCCGGUCGAUGACAGGCGGCGGCGGCGAUUCGGCGCCGCCACCUCUGCAGGUGGCCGCCCAGGUGUGCAGGAAGUGCGUGGAGCCCGAGCCGUCGCAGGCGGCGUGGUGCAGGGUGACGCCGAUGGCGAGGCCGCGGCGCGCGGGAAGGAGCGUGGCCCGAACGGCGAGCAGCCUUCCGCCCCGCGGCAGCGUCGGCACGAGCGCGGCGAUCUUGGCAACCUCCCGGGGCUCGUCGGUGGCGAGGGCGUCGAAGUGCGCGUCGCCGUCCACGUCGUCGUCGCACUCCGCGACGGUGAAGGUGACGGCGUCUCCCGGGCGGUAGUGCAGCUCGUAGCGGUCGGACGUGCCGGGGGUGAGGCGGACGCGGCCGGCGAGCGGGUAGAAGGCGGCGAGGGCCUUGUGCAAGGAGCUCCGGAGGUUGGAGAUGAUGGCUUCGACGUCAGCGUCGUGGGCGAGGCGGUAGAGGAAGAGGCGCUCGACGGGAUGGGACUGGAGCCAGAAGACGUCGAAGAAGGUGAGCGGGAGGGAAGUCUCCGGCGGUGACGGAGACGGCGGCACGAGGGUGGUGUCGUGUACGUGUACGCGGAGGCGAGGAGAUGUCGAGCCCGUCGUCGAGGAGGCCCCUGCCCCUGCCCCUGCAGGUGGCUGCUGCUGGUCUGGCGCCAUGGCCAUGGAUCAACGUCGGACGAGCUUGCGCGGCAGGCAGUGGGCAGUGGGUGACAAUUGGAGAGCUGAAUAGUUGUAGUGGACAGAUAGAUAUACCAGAUGAAAGGAGAAAGGCCAUGCGAGGUUGAUAUAUAGGGUCAGUGGUGGUUGGCUGCUGAAAAUUUGCCGCCUCCAGGCUCCAGCAGCCUCCGGGUCCCGCCGUACGUCCCGGGCUUGUUCCUAACAGCUACCUUCGCAAUGAUUCCAAUCUUCUGGACGGAACGUAACGUCAUCCAUGACCACAGAAAAAAGCACCUCAAUUUGGGCCUUGUUUAGUUCACCCAAAAUCCAAAAUCUUUUCAAAAUUUCCCGUCACAUCAAAUUUUUCGGUAUAUACAUGGAGCACUAAAUAUAGACACAAAUAAAAACUAAUUGCGUUAGAUGAAUCUUUUAAGGCCUUGUUUAGUUGGCAAAAUUUUUUGUUUUUGGUUACUGUAGCAUUUCGUUUUUAUUUGACAAACAUUGUCCAAUCACGGAGUAACUAGGCUCAAAAGAUUCAUCUCACAAAUUACAGAUAAACUGUUUAGUUAGUUUUUAUUUUCAUCUAUAUUUAAUGCUCCAUGCAUGCGACCAAAGAUUCGAUGUGACAGGGAAUCUUGAAAAUUUUUGCGAACUAAACAAGGCCUAAGCCUAGUUACUCUAUGAUUGGACAAUAUUUGUCAAAUAAAAACAAAAAUGCUACAGUUCCGAAAACCAAAAAAAUUUCAAAAUUAAACAAGGUCUUGUUUUUAAAAAAGAAAAGAGAGGAGAUGACAACUGAACAUCUUUCUCUCUUCCAUCUAUUUUAUAUACUCUCUUAAUUUCUAAAUUAUUAGAUAUUUUGCUUUUUCUAUAUAUAUAUAUAUAUUAUGUUUAGGCAUAUAUUAUGCCUAUAUUAUAUGCAAAAAAUAUAUUUAAAAAGUUAAAACAUCUUAUAAUUUAAAAUUAAAUUAAAGGAGCAGUUUAUUUUCUUUUGUUGCACCACCUUUAAGAGUAUUUAUUGAUAUAUAUCUAUAUUUAGGUCUACCAAUAUGUAUAUCUAUAUUUUAUCUCGCCAUUUAGCUGUCCAUAGUCCACACACCAUCCACUAGCACAUACAAUUAUGUCUUUCUUUAAGCUAUUCAGUAAACCAUAUCAUUCGCUAACAUAUAUUUAGUUGACGAGUGUUAAAUCAUCUACUAACAUAUAAUAUUUAUUUAUAUAAAUAAAUGUAAGUAGUUCAAGUGUCAUUUGCACAACAACGCGCUAAUUUUGUCAUAAGGAGAUGAUUUUUCAACAACUGGAUGGGUUUUCUAGUACAAUAUUUCCUCCGUUCACAAAUAAAGUCAAUCUAACUUGUUCUAAACCAGACCUUUUUAACUUUAUUAUUUAUCAAAAAGAUGCGUUCUAGUCAGACUAAAAAGAAUUGGAACUAAAGUUAACAAAGUUUACUAUGCAAUUGUAUUUGUCAUUGGAGUUGGACUUGACCGUGCUGUUUGCAGGCAAGUUGUGGCAAUAAUCCUUUAGCAUGGUCUAAGACAUAAUACCGUGCGGGGCCGUGUUGUGUCUAGGAUCCCAACAAAAUAAGCAGGACACACCAUAUUUUGUAUUGACACAACUCACAUUUUGAAUCAUGUUUGGACCAACAUGGUAUGAAAAUAGCACAUAAGCACAUUAUAACGCUACAAUAUAGUGCGUACCUCUUCUCUAAUUCUUAAAUGGAUACAAAAAAAUCAUUAUUUUUUAUAAAAAUAGUAUAUGCAAAAUAUAUCUUAUCUUAUACUUUUAUAAAGCUAAACCCCACUAGAGAUUUCUCUCAACAUGCAAGCUAUCCACAUCAACAAUCCACUAAAACUUGCAUUUAUAGCCAACUAGCACAUAUAAUUAUGAUAGUCAUCUCUUCAUCUAUUAACAUUCAUUUAGUUGUUCAUAUUGAUGUGUCAAAUCAUUCAACAAAAUUAAUUUAAGAUAAUUUUAUUCAUAUAACUCUAAAUAUAAAUAGUCUAAUUUCUUUUUAAAUUAUCUGAAAUUCCCACAGUAACACGCGGAGUAUUCUUCUAGUUUUCUAUAUGCAAGUUGACCAAGAAAAUAAGGAAAGAUAUUUUGUGAGCCCAGCUUAAGCCAACACGGUACGAAGGAGACCGGGCAUACUUGCGCUAAAACAAAGAUUUAUGAGCCCAACAUACUCAUGCAAUAAAUAUAUAUUUUAGGGUUGGACACGGAAUCAAGGAGGAGUGCAAAAUCCAUGGUGCACGGAAAAUAAAGCAAAAGGCAUUCUGUUUCAAAUUAUAAAUUCCUUUUGAUUUUUUUGGUAGUUUAAUUUUACUAUGUAUCUAGAUACAACAUACUAUGUCUAGAUACAUAGCAUACUCUCUAUACUAAAAUGGUUAAAACAACUUAUAAUUUGAAAUGGAGGGAGUAUUGGAAAAAACAAAAGGGCAAUUGAAAAAAGAAAGAUAUAUUCAAAAGUGAGAACAUCAAAUAUUUUAGGCUUUGUUUAGUUCCAAAAAAUUUUAGAAAAUCGACAUUGUAACACUUUUGUUUGUAUUUGACAAAUAUUAUCCAAUCAUGGACUAACUAGUCUUAAAAGAUUCGUCUCGUUAAUUCCAACCAAACUGUGCAAUUAGUUUUUAUUUUCGUCUAUAUUUAAUACUCCAUGCAUACGUCUAAAGAUUCGAUGUGAUGAAUAUUUUGAAAAAGAUUAAGUAUUUCAAGACGAAGGGAGUACCUUGCAUGCCUAAACGGUAGAAUUGCACGAAGCACAAGAGUUGCCGGCGGCCCAAAUCUUACCUAUAGUCAAAAUAAGCUUUUUUUGAACUAAAAGCCAAAGUGAAAAUAUGACUGACCUUUGGAGUUGGAGCAAAGGAACGUGCAUUUGUCAAUGAAGCGGAUCGGUGAAAAGAAAUCCGAUAGCUUCGUUGAGAUUCGUCGCCAUAGAAACGGUCCAAAAGAAAGCGACUAUAUAUCUCCUUUCGUAGAAAAAAAAGAGAGUAUCAUUACGAGAUUGGUACAGAUUAUACCUGGGCAUGCAGCCCGAGCCCGUGAGCACGGCCCGAAGCCCGUCAUUUUGGCCCGGCCCUAGCCCGGCCCGGCCCGAAAGUCAUUGGGCUCGGGCUGGCACGGCACGGGGCUGCAGGCCGUGCUUGGGCCGCACUUCAGGCCCACGGGCCGGCACGGCCCGGUCCGUCAAAUAACAACAUUGUAUAAAAUAACUCAUUUUAAUAUCUAAAUCUAUUCUCUACAUCUGUCAUAUGUAUUUGAAUGUGUUCUUUAUACUGAUGAAGUGAUGAAUUGAUGAAUGUGUUUGAAAUAUGCUUUUAAAUCUGUGUUUAUUGAUAUGUUAUUGUUCAACGGGCUAUGGGCUGGCCCGGCCUGACGGGCCCGCCCGGUACGCAAAAUGGCCCACGGGCCCGUGCCUGGGCCGGAGGUCAGGCCCGCAGGCCGGUAAGGCACGGCCCGCAGGGCACGACGGCCCCCCUCGGCCCGUUAGGCAACGUGCCGGGCCGGCCCGGUGUCGUGCCGGGCCGGGCCGGGCCGGCCCGUUGCCCAGGUAUAGUACAGAUCAAUCUUUUAUUUUUUAGAGUCUAGGAACUUAUGCUUGGGAGUAUACAACAUUGUGGGCCUAUUUGUUUUUCCUGGCUCAUAGGCCCAACCAGCCCAGCAGGCUGCAAUGCAACUGCCCCUGCGCCGGCUGGAUCUGCUCGCCGUGGCUUAUAGAAGUUUUGCGACCGUCUUCUCCGUCUCCACGACCGGCUUCAUCGCCCUCUAGAGUCUGGAUCGCACCUCACGCGAGACGUACACCCAUGGCGCUGCGGCUUCUGGGAACCAAGCUUUCAAAGCGAGUCUUGCCAUGUCAUGACCUCUUGAAGGGGCUGAGGCCGCUCCAUGCACGGCCUAUAUUAUAAGACGGCUGUCAGCUCGUCGGUAGGCGCUUGCUUGCUCUGCCUGCUGGAUGCCAUUGCAAUUCAGCCUGUGGCCUAGAUUGUUCCCUGACAGUCAGCAUCUAAAAGUCUCAGGAUUUGAUCAUUGAUUAUUUGAUUACGAUUUCACGCAAAUUCCGCCCAAACAAUCCGGCUUGCGUCAACGGGGUUUCUUCAUUUUUUCAGGUAGAGGACAGCUUCGCCUCUGGUUACCCACCUAGAGCGAAGAGGCUCAUGCCUAGUUCCCUUGCACUAUCUUUCAAAUCUUUUAAUGUUGUCGAAAAUUUCAUGCGUACUACAGCUUCGUAGGUUGCAUUAGGAUUACAUUGCAACUUAAAUAUUGAUGUGCUGGAAGGAUGAUGGGUUCUUUUUUUUUUGAGGAAACAGGAUGAUGGGUUCUCAUCUGCAAUAUUUUUGUUUGCACAGUUCAAUUAGUUAUAUGCAUCAAUUAACUGAUGUGAUCUCUCAUUGUCUGUUUUAUUUUGAUUCUGAUCACAUUUUUCACUUAUCAGGCCCUGCCCGGCACUUCUUUGAUUCAUGGAAAAAGAAACUUUGCUUCAGGCCCUUCUACCACUGAAAACGUUCUGAAGGUAUACUGUUGAACUCACAUUUCUUCCUGGAAGGGCACUCACAAUCCAGACUUUAUCAUAGAGUCUAAAGUUAUUUAUUACCUCGAAUAAUAUGGACUUAGAGUCUUAUUUUUUCUACUUCUUUCUUCAAUAAAUAUGCUGCCACAUCAGCAAAAUAUCAUAAAUAAUAUGUUAAUUAUCUUAGACUCUGUGAUAGAGUCUUGCAUUGUGAGUGCCCUAAUAAUAACAGCAUUAGUUGAACACUUCUCAAAUGACUACCAAGCGUACAGGAGGAACAGAUAAAAACGCUUGUAAGAAGAUUUGUCGGACAUGUUGUUAGGCCAUCCUCAAUGAGAGUUUUAUGACACAGUUUCCAAUACAUCAAUAUUUUAGAAACAGUGCAUAGGAGUUUUAUGAGGAUGAAACUCUCUCUACUCCCAUGAAACUCUUAUCAUCUCCCUCUUCAUUAAUAUAGCGCCACAUCAGCAUAUUUAAUGUGCAUAAAACUCUAAUGUAACUCUCAUUGAGACUGGCCUUACAGACCAUUCUAACGUCCUUGCAUUGUUGGAUAUAGUGUGAUUAAUUAAUUAAUUAAAUAAUAACAUGGAUAAAGUUUUAAUCAGAUUGCUAAAUAACAGCAGUUUCAUGUUACCAAUCUUACUGAAAAGGUUCGUCUAAAGAAAACAUACUAAUAAAAAGAUCUCCUAAGCAAAUAUUUUUACAGAAGAGAUGUCUCGCCAAGAAGUUAACUUUUGAUAGCAACUAUGAUAUAACUUGGUUUAAUGAUUGAUUGACAACUGUCGACAUGCCUCGUUACUUUCAAGACAAGAGAACCUGCUAAGCAUGCUGAAUGGUCCAACUAAUUAGAGCACUUCCAAUGGUUUGACAAUUUUGGUUUGGUAUUUGUUGUUGUUUGCCAACUCCUAAUUGCAAAUGCAAAGGAAAAAAUAUGGCCAUCCCUAAUGGUUUGUCAUUUUGGACUUGGCAAUUACCUAGUGGCGAUCGCUCAGCUGCGUGGAUGCAAUGGCCGCUCGCGUGUUUCUGUCCAGACGCGCGCGAUCUUCAGGGAGGGAUGUAGCAGACUCGAUCGGCGUAUUUUAAUCGCGUUCAGGGAGUGACGACGUAGCAGACUCGAUCUGCGUCUUUGAGUCACGGCAAACCAAUGGCGGCGCGGACUCUAUUUGGCGCGAGGACUCCCUACAACGAAGGAAACGACGCCAAAGAGACCAGGCCGCGCACGGAAUUGACGUAGGAAAACCGGCCGCAAGCGUUUGCCAAUCCAAAAGUCAACUCCCAAAUAUGCCAAGGGGAGCCUCUCAAAUGCCAAGUUUACUAAAAUGGCAAACUCGUUUGCAAAACCGUUGGAGGAGUGAUUUUUACCUUUUUGCCAAAUAACAUAAAUGCCAAAAUUAGAAUGGCAAACCGUUGGAGCAUCUCCAACAGUUAUGCAAUUGGACUUUGCAUUCUUCAAAUUUGCCAAAAACCUUAAAAAUUGCUCUCCAACAGUUUUGCAUUUGACUUAUGCAUUUUGGCAAACUUGGCAUUUGAUGGACCAAACUUGGCAUUUUUGCAUAAGCACAAUGACUUGGCAAUUUUGAUAUCCCGAGAAUCUUGAACUCCUUGUCGUGCCCGUACUCCCCACGUCGCGGUAGUUUCCCGCGAAACGACUCCUCCCCGCGCGCGACUAUUUUCUUUCCCCCGCGCGCCGCCUCCUUUUUUCUACGCGUCGCCUUCUUUUUCCCUUGCGACCUGGAUGCCGCGGUGCAGCCUGGGACUGUUGCCUCGAUCGGAUUUCGACGACCUGGACCAAGCGUCGACGUGGACCAAGCGGCGACGCGCGAGAGAAUUGGCGGCGACGGGCAAAGGAAUUGCGCGCGAUGGACGCCCGCGCGACGCGCGAGAAAAUUUUCCGCGAAGAUGAAAGAUUCUCGGACAAAAAUAGUUGGGUCCACUAUUUUGGGAUAUGCCAAGUCAAAAAUGCCAAACACUUGGAGAUGAACUUAUUUUUCCUUUGGCAAAACGUUUAGGGACUUGGCAAACUCCAACAAAUGGCAAAUUUCAAUUGCAUAACUGAUGGAGAUGCUCUAAGGCAUAAAUAGUAGAAGACUUAGUCCAAAUCCUCAUGCAAAAACAAUUUUUGGAUAUGGAUUAUGUUUCUUUCUUUAUUUUUUGAAGGAUGAUGCAAACUAGUAUUUUAGAUUAGAAUCUGGCUCCUGCUCUGAAAUAAAUAAAGAAGAAUAUUUACCUUUUUCAUCUUGCUCGGUCGGCCUUGUUUACUUUCAAUUUUUUUUUUCAAAAUAAACAUUGUAGCACUUUCGUUUGUAUUUGACAAAUAAAGUCCAAUCAUAGACUAACUAGGCUUAAAAAAUUCGUCUCGCAAAUUACAGAUGAACUAUGCAAUUAGUUAUUUCUUUUAUUUAUAUUUAAUGUUACAUGUAUGUGCCGCAAGAUUCGAUGUGACGGAAAAUCUAAAAAAAUUUGUAAAAUUUUUUGGAACUAAACAAGGCCUAAAUAAUCUUGAACUGAGAAGCUUCUGUGCUGCCGUGUUUGCCGCAGAUGAAUUCGUUCAGGAAGAGCUCAGUGCACCAGGAGAUGAUAAGUGUCCAAAGGUGGAAGCAGUAGAACGAUGAGUGCGAUUAUUGCUCAAGGUAAAUUUGUGCUCUGUACUAGUAUGGUCUUCCAUUUAAUUCUUUUAGAUUCUGAGUGUGUCUUUAUUUCUUCCAUUCACUCUUCACAGUCCGCGCGACAUUGGGAAGUUCCUUGAGCGCCUCUACACCUUGGGAACUUGGAUGUAUUGCAUCGGUACAGUUUGGAUUGUACGUGAAAUCGUCCAACUACGACGCAAGUUUAAGGCUUUGGAUUCGGAUGACCAUUAAACGUGCAAGUUCCAAUGGCCUCUUCUUCCACACCUUACUUAUAUCAUGGUUUGUACUCGAUUCCAUGUAAAGUUUUGUCUCUACCUUUUGGUCAAGACAGACCAGACAUUUUACGUCUAGGAGGAAUUGGAUUCAUUGUUUCUUGGAUCUUAAACACCACAUGUUAUUUUGACCCCAUAUUCCGUCGUCGCAUCCGCAAUGUGGCGGACCACCCAAACAAAGAGCUUACAAAAGCAUCGUGGAGAUCAAAGCAAUUUUGUGUCAGGUCUGGUUCUAGCACAAGUGCAACAUGAGCUCCAUGCAAGAUGCGACGAUAUAACAAGACAUUGAAACUUAGGUGAAUGUCAUCUCCAAGAGACUGAAAAUAUGAAUCCAUAUGGAUAAGUCGGUCUCGGCUAACUGUGUGUGCAAUAUGCAUGCCUAUCAUUGAUCUUAGAUGUAUAUAUAUAUAUAUAUAUAUAUAUAUAUAUAUAUAUAUAUAUAUAUAUAUAUAUAUAUAUAUAUAUAUAUAUAUAUAUAUAUAUAUAUAUAUUAUACUUAAUGUAAGAAAAAUAUGAGAGCACAACAAAAACAAUUUGACAUCUUACAUAUUAUGAAUCCUAUUCAUCGACCGACAAAACCUUUUCACAUAUAAUUGCAAAAGAAAAAAAAAGAAUUGUUCAUCAACCGACACAUUUAUACAAUGAUUUUUUAUACCCUUCAUCCAGUCAUAGCUAGGGGCAUAGGUUAGGGCUACCUCUACCAAAAUGUCAGGACUAGCCUCACCCGGCUGUACCCGACACGAAAAGUUACUGAGUAGUUGGAGAGAAGUUUUAGCAACUUUUAUUUUUAUUUUUAUGAAGGAACUGUUUUACCAAGAUGAUGGAUGAGUUUUUUUCCUUGUUUUUUAAAAAGUCAAAUAGGGAGUUCAUUUAGAGCAUCACCAAUAGUUUUUCUUAAAAAAACAAUUGAUAAAUCAAUGAGUUGUUUUUCAAGUGCCUAAAAAGAAAUAGGCACAUAUGUUUCUUCAACCGUUUUUGAAAUCUCAACCCUAAAAUAUAGGAUAAUUUUGUAUUAAGAAUCCUAAACUAUUUUUAAAUUAUCAUAACCAUUUAUUUUCCUAAGUGCGAAAAGAUUGAGAGUUGAGAUAAGAAGUUGUUAAGAGCAAUUGUUUAAACCUAGCUAAAAAAAUCAAGAUUAGGAGUAGUGGGAACUCUCGGAGAUACUUCUACAAAGUUCAUGGAGUUGCUCGCUAAAGCCGAAAAAACGAGUCAAACCAUUUUAGAUUUGAUCAUGUCUAUUAAAAAUAUUAAUGUUAUUUGGCACCAAAUAGAUUAGAUUUAUUAUAAGGUAGUAUAUUUUCAGUUUAUACGUAUUCGGUAUCACUAUGUACUAAAAAUGGUAUAUGAGGGAGUGUUAUGAGUAUUUUUAUAAAUUUGAUCAAACUAUAGAAUCCCUGAUUUGACUUAGAAAUUAGGAUAGAACUAAAACGGUACUUCUUAAAUAUUAAAGUAUAAGAUAUUUUGUUUUUUCUAGAUAUAUUAAUCUUGCUCUAUAUACAUGUAGUAUGAUAUAUAGGAUAAAAAUGAACGGGGUAUUUUUCGUUGUUGACGGAGAUAGCAGAAACUGUGCCAAAAAAAAAAAAGGGUGUGCAAUCACAAUUCGACAGAGUCGGCACACCUGAUUUCUUUCAGAUACUACACCCGGGCUGAUCGAUCCUCGGAAGAACAGGACACGUAGGAUCGGGUGCGCUCCCACUUUAUCCCAUUCGGCCAUCGUGCCACGAGCUGGCACGGCAGCGUCAACGCUUUUUGACGCGUUCGGCAGCCACCUCGCGUGGGUUGGAGCCAAACUCCACGGCCGCACCACCCCCUGGAGCUCGAGUCGAUGUCGAGCACUCGAGCUCAGGUAAAAAAGCCCAUUUGAAAACUCUGUUCCUGUUUCCACACAGUGAGGCCACGUCGUAGGGUUUUGCUUGCUUCGCCCGGCGGUAAAGCGGAGCGCGGCGACCGCCGGCGCCCGGCCAUGGAGAUCGGGCAGUACCCCGUGAGCAGCUGCUCCAAGGAGCACCAGAAGAUCUACCAGGAGUGGUUCGCGCUCGCGGACGCAGGUCCGAUUCCUGCCCCCCACCCCCUGCUCUCCUCUGCUCUGUUCCCCCUCGAUCCCCAAUCCCCUUCCCACUGUUGUUCGCCUGGCCCUGGAUGUGUGGUCUUCUAAUCGACGGUGUUUGCAGAUGGGGAUGGCCGCAUCACAGGACCCGACGCGAUCAAGUUUUUCGGCAUGUCCAAGCUCUCCCGCCCCGACCUCAAGCAGGUGCGCUGGCUCUCGCUACUAAUCCCCUUCCUGGCUUUGUUCUGCUUGCGGAGCUAUUGGUUUUUAAUGUAUGUGCCAUUUUUGUCUAACCGUGCUGCGAUUCAAGGUCUGGGCUAUCUCGGACACCAGACGGCAGGGGUACCUGGGUUUCCCUGAAUUCGUCACGGCGAUGCAGGUUUUCCCUCGUCUAUUUGAUGUUUUUGUUGUGCUCUCUGUCUCCACGAGGUGAUUUGGGUUAUUGUUCGUCACUAAUGGGCUUGUUUAAAUUGGCAGCUAGUCUCUCUGGCACAAGCAGGGAAUGAGAUUACUCAAGAUAGCCUUAAGCGAGAUGGUUGUUGCUAGCCUCCAAAUCAAGUCUAUUUGAUCGCAUUAUGCUUAUUUAUUUACUGCUAACAAGUGUAAGGUUAUAUCUGACAGAUUUGAUAAGUUUGAAUCCACCUGUUAUGGAAGGUUUGGAUGCCCUACUUGCGGUAAUGUAUUACUGUGUCCUUAUGGUGUUUCUUUAUCAAAUUUGUGCUUUUAUCUCAAUGCCUUGUAUUAACUACGAUGGCAACUGCUUUCAGAAAUCUAAGCAUUUGGUGAAGCGUGUUGAUCCAGAAAUGGAUGGUAAGUAAUGCACUCUUUAACAGGAGAUUCAUGCUUGGGGGGAAAUCAAUGAUACAAACCUAUUUUUUUAAUCCAUGCAGGAUAUCCUCAAGAACAAUCUACUUUAACGAACAAAUGGUUCAGCUCAAAGUCAUCAAAGAAGGUAAUACUCACAAUUUUCUUGUGACUUCUGUAUGCUCCUAGAAUAUUGCUCUUGUGAAUAUCUAUUGCAUACCAGCACCAAAACAACUUUUGAGGAAAAUUCUACUAUGACCUUAGUUCAGUUUUCUGUCAUUUUUACGUUAGUAAAAGGAAAAGGCAGCAAGUUUACUUGUUUAGCUUGUGUAAGCCGCCUUAGCUGGUUACCUAUUUAUUUUAACUGUAUCUGGUCUGUUAACGAGCUUGAAAACAGUAUGAUACAUGUAAGUUGUCUAAAAUGAAGCCCACAGUCCACCAAAAUGUUUGUAAGACAACAUAGCUCUCAGUAAUUGUGUUUCUGUUGUGCAUUAUUAACUUUCCAGAUUUUUUUCCACCAAUAUUAAGAACUUUCCCUAUAUCAAUAAAUGCUGUGAGUUGACCCUAAUUUUGUCAAUGUCACAUUUAUCAUUAUUGCUGAUCUUUCCUUUUAUGGUGUUACAUAUAAACAGAUACCUCUGACUGCUGUUACCUCUGUCAUCGAUGGCUUGAAAAAACUUUAUAUCGAAAAACUGAAGCCUUUGGAAGUUACAUACAAGUUCAAUGAUUUUGUCUCCCCUUUGCUGGUACACACUGUAUUCCCAGUUUCUGGAUACGUUAUGAAACAGAAAUGCUACUUUCCUGUGUCCUCAUAUGCCAUUAUUAUUGCUGUUUCCUUGUCAUGUUGUUCAAAAUAACUCCCUUUCUUGCAGAAUAUUGUUAAUCCUUUUUUUUUGGUGUUGCAGACAAGUAGUGAUUUUGAUGCAAAGCCAAUGGUUAUGCUCUUAGGUCAAUAUUCUACUGGUAAAACAACUUUUAUUAAGCAUCUGCUAAGAACAAGCUAUCCAGGUUUAUAUCUACCAGAUGUACCUCUAGUUUCCCAGGUUUGUUCAAGUAACGUGCUGUCUGACAGUUUAUGUUUUGCAUUUGCAGGUGCCCAUAUUGGACCAGAGCCAACAACAGACAGAUUUGUAGUUGUCAUGGUAAACUGAGCAAAACUUAGGAUUUCUCUUUGUAGCUAUAAUAGGUGCAUCAAAUGAUUUAAACUUCUUAUUUGAUUUGUGAAGGAAUUUUAGUUGAAAGUUGAAACGAUGAACGGAUGAAGCAAUCCAACAUUUUUCUCGAAACUUUGGAUAGGGAAUUUACAUCGUUAGUUACCUAUGCACCCCUUCUAAGAUGUUGGCUUUACAGAUGAUAGAUAAUGACACAGAAUGGAUAUGACUUUAUGCCUUUGAGUGUCGUCACAGUUUUUCCAGACAUAGUUCGUGAAAUCCUCAAGAGCAUGCAGAGUUUUCUACAUAGUAAACAGAAUGCAAAGAGUAUAAGCUGAUCUGGGUUCUCUAUUUGGGGUACAAGUAUUACAAGGAAGAAAAAAUAGCGAUGGUGCUGAUGCCAUAAUUUUCUUAGGUGCUACGGCCUAUGCAAAUUUACCAGUCUGUCAUUUCUUUGGUGGUGGUGGUGGUUGGGGGGGGGGGGGUCUUCCUGUUGCCAACAAGAACCAAAAUUAGUGUUUUUGGGAUGCAUUGCUUGUUCAUUUCUAUAAGAUGUUUGGAUCUGAUUGUCUUUCUAUGCUUUGUGAAAAUACUGUCAAUUUUCUGGUUGACAGCUGUUGCGUUGUGAUUGGCAGCCUGCACCUUUUUCUCUAAAUUUUCUCUGAAAUGCUGAGCUGCAAUUAUAUCGCCAGCUAUCAUAUUUAUGAUUGUUUCUGAUUCCUUGGGGUUUGUUGGGAAUGUUAGCUAAUGUAAAAGGUGGUAAAAGAAGCAUAGUGCACAUAUCUCCAAAUCAAUAUUAAGUUUGAGUUCAUCAUCGCUAGAUUUAUGCAAAUUCUUUCUUGUGAAACUUGCAAUAGCUACUAAGCAUCUAUUGGCACACUCUUUGACCAAUUUCAGUUAUUUCAACGCAACUGCAGUAUAAGCAGUAUGAAUUGCCUGUGUGCCAUCUAUUACAUUACCACAUGUUUUAUACCUACAAUACUUUCCCCUUUCUGUCGCUCCAGUUAACUUAUGUAUGCUUGCCAGUCAGGACCUGAUGAAAGGACUAUUCCUGGAAAUACUAUUGCUGUUCAAGCUGACAUGCCUUUUAGUGGUCUUACAACAUUUGGGACUGCAUUUUUGUCCAAGUUUGAGUGCUCUCAGAUGCGACAUCCAGUAAGAUUUAAUUUUGAUGCAAGUGAAAACCUAAAAGGCAUGUAAUCUGGAAACUGAUACCAAACAUUUACCUUGAAGCUGCUAGAGCAUAUCACAUUUGUUGACACACCUGGUGUUCUUUCUGGUGAGAAGCAACGCACGCAACGCAGCUAUGAUUUCACUGGCGUGACAUCAUGGUUUGCUGCGAAAUGUGAUCUUAUUCUUCUUCUGUUUGAUCCUCAUAAGCUUGAUAUCAGCGAUGAGUUCAAACGUGUCAUUGGAUCAUUACGUGGACAUGAUGACAAAAUUCGUGUAGUUUUGAACAAGGCAGAUCAAGUAGACACUCAACAGGUAGUAUUCGUGGAUCUUUCUGUGUCUUAAAUUCUGAUGGGGCAUUUUGCUUUUUUUUGCUCUAUGUAUUAAUAGCCCUUCUCUCAUGACAUGCAGCUUAUGAGAGUUUAUGGUGCAUUGAUGUGGUCUCUUGGGAAAGUAUUGAAUACACCUGAGGUUUCACGUGUUUAUAUUGGGUAACUUCUGAUACCUUGAUCUUCUUUAUAGCUAAAAUAUUUUGUGAUAGAUUACAUAAUAUCUUCAAAUUGCAACUUCAGAAUUUACAACUAGAGUAUUGAUGUAUUUCAUUUACCCUAUUAAAGCUUGACUCGGGUAUUACUGGAUUUCUCCAUUACUUAAACAAUAGUAUAUUUGAAUCUUGUUCUGGUAUUGACCUUAGAACAUUCAAGUGCCUGCAAAUCAUUCAAGUAACUUCCAUGUUUGUUUGUAGAUCAUUCAAUGACAAACCAGUAAAUGAAUCAGCUGUUGGUCCACUUGGAAAGGAACUAUUUGAGAGAGAGCAAGAUGAUCUCCUUUCUGAUCUCAAAGAUAUCCCCAAGAAAGCCUGUGACCGUCGGGUAAAUCUUUUCUUAUUUUUUUCCAUGUGUUUUUUCAGUCCUAACUAAUCAGUAUUUGCAUAUUAACAUCAGUAUUCUGUGCCUUGCAGAUCAAUGAAUUUGUUAAACGUGCUAGAGCUGCCAAGAUCCAUGCUUAUAUAAUAGGCCAUCUGAAGAAGGAGAUGCCUACAAUGAUGGGCAAAGCAAAAGCCCAACAACGACUCAUAGACAAUCUGCCCGAUGAGUUUGCAAAGGUAUGUAUUUUGAGGUUCUUAAGUUCUCUAGUCGAUAUAGGAUCAUUGUAGAUUGAAAAGGCGCAGAGGUCCUUCCUUAUGUUAGGUCCUCUUUUUUCUGUCAGAUGUCCUCUUACCAUGUGUUUGUGUGGGUGGGUGGUGGUGGUGGGGUGGGGGGUGCGUAUCAUGGUCUCGUGGCUUGUUUCAUGUAGCCAGCUUGCACCUUAAGUUUCGGUUAUUUUACUACUUUCACACAUUCUAAAAUAGUGACAGUAAAAGUUGGUUGAUUUCGCCAAUGGUGUGAAUUCUGGGCUCUUCCUUUUUCAUUUCAGUUGCACAGUUCUCUCUUUUCUUUUACUGGAUGCCAUGUGAAGCAUUCCCCUUACAUAUUCUUUCCAUAUAAUUUUCAUGCUCUAAUCAACAACUGCUGACUGGCGGAAUAGGUGCAACGGGAAUACCACCUUCCGUCGGGAGAUUUUCCUUAUGUGGAGCACUUCAAAGAAGUCUUGAGUGGGUAUAGCUUUGACAAGUUUGAGAAGGUCAAGCCCAAGAUGAUACAGGCCGUGGAUGAUAUGCUUGGAUAUGACAUUCCAGAACUUCUCAAGAACUUCAGAAACCCAUACGAGUGAACCCAUACAGGCAGCUGAAAGAUGACUUCGAUCUGCACCAGGAUGAGGGAUUGAGUGGGGCAUGGAUUGAUGCUGCAUUCCAUAACUUUGGAAUUGUCUGGCAACGUGAAUCAUCGCAGUGAAGGUCGUGGGGCGUUCAUUGUCAUCCAUGCUUCACCAUUAUAUAACUGUAUGCAUAAGAAUCGUAGAUCCAUUGCUCAAGCUUUCACCAGACAUCUGGUCAUGUAAAAUCGACUAAACAGUGAUAUUAGUGUUAAAGAAUAUACUAUUUAUUCUCAUUAUUUCUUCAAAUGAGUAUUUAUUCAUUUUGGAACAGCUGGGUAAUGUGGUUCGGUCUAUCCAUGAAGAAUAUUCUGACCACCGUGGGGUGUUGCCCUGAACUUGGCUCCUUGUUUUGCUUAUAUAUAGUUAUAUGUGGAUUUGUUCAUGAAUAUCAUGUAUGUUGUGUCACUGCAAAAUCAGAUAUUUUUUGAAGGACGAACCUUUGAGAAAUUAACUCAAUAAAUGCCUUAUUUGUUUGGCUGAUAAGUUGUCCUGAGAUUGGAUAAUACUAUUGUUUUUCUGCCACAAUAGAGCCAAAGAAUGAAGUGAAUUUCAUGUUUCUAUAUAGCCUUGCUACUGACGGGCGGUAGCUAAAGCUGAGCUUAAAUUUGUGCGGGAGCGUGACUGUGUAUAAUUUAGACUUGUUUAGCAGGGCUCUUCUAGAGGAGCCACAACCGUUUCAGUGAAGCCACAAAUUGUGGUUUCGCCAAAAUGGCUUCAACUCAUCUGCUUUUUACUUAAAAAAACAGUUUCUUAAAAAAAAAUUUAGCAGGACUCCUCUGUAGGAGUCAGAGCUGGAGCCAGAGAAAAACCUUGUCAAAAACAGGCCCUUAUUGAACUACAUUUCUAUGGAAUUUAGACUAGACAUACCCUAAGAAUUAUGACCAAAGAUAGCAUGUCCAAACAUAGCUAUCUUUACAUCCGGGACCAAAAAAAAAACUGAACCGACGCUAAAGCUCGGAAGUCAAACAUUCUAAAAAAAAAGCUUGGAAGUCAAACGCAGCUGGCACAAACCUGAGUCCCGCCGACGCCGGCAGCUGCCUCUCUCAAUCAUUGAAAACGUGGCAAACACAAACCACUACCACACCUCUCUAAAAAAACGAAGCAAAAAUGUAUAUGUUUUUAUAUAAAAAAAAACACACAGAAUGACGACACGGGACACGGCGACACGCCGUCACCGAACGCGCAAGUGUCUCCGGCGACCGACCCGCGGCCAGCGGCCUUGUCCAGUAGUACUCCAGUCCAACCCCCCUCUCCCGCGCCACGCCGCGCCGCCGACCCCGUCCGCGCCCCGCGGCCCGCGGGUUCGGCAUCCCGCCCCCACCUCCUCACCAAACUCCCCCAACCCGAUCCCCCCGUCCUCGCCCUCGCCCUCGCCUCGCGCCCCCCCGCACCGCGCUUGCGCAUUUGGCUUCUUCGCGGCUCCAGCGACCCCGUCCCCCGUCCCCGUCGGGCACCAACCCAACCCAGUACCCAACCCAACGCUCUCCUCGCUUCCCCUCCUUUUCCUCUGCCCAACAAUUGAUAGCUCACCUCACCUCACCUCCGCACCCGCUGUUUCGUGCACCGCACUUCACCCCCCACCAACCUCUCCCCCUCAAAAACUAUCCACCCCACCCCCACCGUCCACCCCCACCUCACCCCUACCCGCCGACGAGCGCGAUCGAUUGAUUCGCUUCGAGCCGGGCGGAGGAGGAGGAGGAGGGAGCGCCGGGCGGCGGGGGGAACCCACCAGAUCCGGCGGCUAUGAUGAAGUCGCUGCUGCCGCAGAGCCAGCUGCGGCGCUCGUCGGCGGCGGCCGCGCGGUCGUCGUCGGGCGGCGGCGCAGCGGGGGGAGACGGGGCUAUGGCCGACGGCGGCGGCGCGGGCCCGCGGGCGCCGGCCUCCUCCACCUUCUGGUUCCUGCUCCACGCGCUCUGCUGCCUCAUCUCGCUCUUCCUCGGCUUCCGCUUCUCGCGGCUCCUCUUCUUCCUGCUCUUCUCCACCACCGCGCUCUACCACUCCACCACCUCGUCCUCCUCGGCCGCGGUCCUGCGCGCCACCACGACUACCACCACAACGACGACAACCACGACGACGACCACCAACACCUUCACGCUCUCCUUCGCCGCCGCCAACACUCCCCCUUCCGGCCCCGCUAACCGCACCGCGCUGGAGGCGGCGGGCGACAACAAGGGGGCGGCGUCGUCGGGGAACCCGCAGAGCCACGUCGUGGUGGGGAGGCACGGGAUUCGGAUCCGGCCGUGGCCGCACCCGGACCCCGUCGAGGUGAUGCGCGCGCACCGGAUCAUGGAGCGCGUGCAGGAGGAGCAGCGGCGCUGGUACGGCGUCAAGGAGCCCAGGCAGGUGCUUGUCGUCACCCCGACCUACUCCCGUGCGUUCCAGGCGCUCCACCUCACCGGCCUCCUCCACUCCCUCCGCAACGUGCCGUACCCGCUCACCUGGAUCGUCGUCGAGGCAGGCGGCACCACCAACGCCACGGCGUCGAUGCUGGCGCGCUCUGGCCUCACUUUCGUCCACAUCCCCUUCCCUGACCGCAUGCCUCAUGAAUGGGCCGACCGCCACGCCACUGAGAACCGGAUGCGCCUCC